GCUUGAAACAAAACAAAAAACAAAAAAAAACAAAAAAAAAACAAGAGUUGCGACCUAGAUUGGUUCUCCAGGU
rnacentral:ribozyme from 14 species